rnacentral:rRNA from 1 species
CAGGUCACUCCUACGGGAGGCAGCAGUGGGGAAUAUUGGACAAUGGGGGCAACCCUGAUCCAGCGACGCCGCGUGUGUGAAGAAGGCCUGCGGGUUGUAAAGCACUUUUAGUGGGGAUGAAAAGCACAUCGCUAAUACCGGUGUGUCUUGACCUAACCCAAAGAAAAAGCACCGGCUAACUCUGUGCCAGCAGCCGCGGUAAUACAGAGGGUGCGAGCGUUAAUCGGAAUUACUGGGCGUAAAGCGUGCGUAGACGGUUAUUUAAGUCGGGUGUGAAAGCCCCGGGCUCAACCUGGGAAUUGCAUUCGAGACUGAAUAGCUAGGGUACGGUAGAGGGAAGUGGAAUUUCCGGUGUAGCGGUGAAAUGCGUAGAUAUCGGAAGGAACAUCAGUGGCGAAAGCGACUUCCUGGACCAGUACCGACGUUCAGGCACGAAAGCGUGGGGAGCAAACAGGAUUAGAUACCCUGGUAGUCCACGCCAUAAACGAUGAGGACUAGACGUUGGAGGGGUAAGCCUUUCAGUGUCGUAGCUGACGCGCUAAGUCCUCCGCCUGGGGAGUACGGCCGCAAGGUUGAAACUUAAAGGAAUUGAC